GACGAACGCUGGCGGCGUGCCUAAUGCAUGCAAGUCGCACGGGCUGCCUUCGGGCAGCUAGUGGCGCACGGCUGAGGAACACGUGGGAACCUGCCCGACCGUGGGGGACAACACCGCGAAAGCGGUGCUAAUCCCGCAUACGCUCCGCGGAGGAAAGCGCUCACGCGCGCGGUCGGAGGGGCCUGCGUCCCAUCAGGUAGUUGGCGGGGUAACGGCCCACCAAGCCGACGACGGGUAGCUGGUCUGGGAGGAUGACCAGCCAGACUGGGACUGAGACACGGCCCAGACUCCUACGGGAGGCAGCAGCAAGGAAUUUUCGGCAAUGGGCGCAAGCCUGACCGAGCAACGCCGCGUGGUGGAUGACGGCCUUCGGGUUGUAAACACCUUUUCGAGGGGAAGACAUCGACGGUACCCUCGGAAUAAGCCCCGGCUAACUCUGUG
rnacentral:rRNA from 1 species